rnacentral:lncRNA from 1 species
CGAUUGAUGCAACUCAGUAAUUUUUAUUGCAACUGGAAGACAAUACAUCACAGAAACUUUAUGGUAGGUCUGGGGGAAAAGUGUUAUUUACAAUAAAUGAUGAAAUAGUUUGUCUUUGGCAAUAUGAUUACAUAUGAAGAAUGCGAAAUGCAGGUAUGGAUGCCUCCAAAGCAACACCAUCAGGUCCCUAAAGUUCGGCUGAUCGUGCCUGCCUCCACACUGCUCCUCUAGGUAACGCAAACGCAACUGAACGUCACUUUCUUUCUCCUUUACGGUUCUCCCUUUCUAUUCAUGAUAUUGGCAGUUUCAUACAGAAAAUACAGAGGAAAAAAAAAUUGGCUCUCGAAAAAUUAUUACUCUAGUAAAUUAUAAUUUGGCCAUGUGGGUCUAUUGGCCAGCAAAGGUCAGACGACCAUAAGCAUCGAUAGUAAACCUCUUAGUCUUCUGAUUGCUUUAUCACUGUUUUUUUUUUUCUUCUGUAAAACAAAAAUGAAACUCAGAAAUGGUACAGAAUCAGAGUAUAAAAAAAUGUACAAGUGUAUAAUGCUUCCCAGACACACCCGGAUAACUCCCCCCCACCCACAUUUUUCACCACGGCAGUAUAAGUAGUGAGUGUGAAUAACACGGCAUGGAACUGGUUACUGAAUCAGCUCUGAGCUUCAAUGGCCUCAACAUACAUACUCAGGAAAUGCUUCAUGUUUAAAUAACUGAAAUUGUGCUAAGGUUCACCUAAAAAAAGGGGGGGGGGAGGGGGUGGGGGCUGGGGAACUCAGGCCACAGUCAUGGAAGGAUGAAAUACAAUUUGUAGGUUUGAUAGGCUCACCAUAUCGAAGUCUGUGCGAUUCCAAUAUGGAGUAUCAGUUAUUUGCAAAAGGUGGGGAAGGCUGUUCUCAACUUUUGCAAAUGAAAUACAGUGGAAAAAACACUGCUGAAUAGAUUCCAAAUAAAUAGUCUCGAUUUCAAUGCUAACGAAACGGACAAGGAAGGGUACUUGUGAGCAUAUCACAGUAAAGUCAGAAGUGGUCUUUCACCUAGGUCUGAUUUCAAAAGAAGGACAGACAGCAAAAUGCAGCACCAUAGACACAUCGGUUUCGGCCGUUACGAGAUGGAUCGUUUUGAAAAAAAAAAAAAAAUCGUUAUUUUCCUUCCUUAAUUUUUGGUCAGUGAAGCUAGCACUUGUUUGCUGAACUGUGGAAGAAUUUCAAGGUCACACGCAUUAUUCAUGAUAAAGCAACCGAGCUGACGAGUCUGUGCUUAAUUCAAGAAUAACCAGUAGGAGAGAGAGGAAAACAAGGAGUUAACCACCUCUGGCGCUCUCUCCAAGGAAGAGGGGUUAACAGAUGAAUUCACAAAGGUAGGCGGGUCUAUACAGAACACUGGAUGCCAUGUGUAAAUCCUCAUGAAACUCCAGAAACAGGAACACCACACAAUGUAUAUACUUUGAUUUACACAUUCCGUUACAAAGAGGAAAAAAAAAAGGAAAAGAAGACACCAUUACAACUUGGUAACUGUGUUAACUGCAAUAUAAACCAAAGUCCCGAGUUUGGCAGGUAACUAAAAGAGGGUUAUCACUUAGGUUAUAUAGCAAAAGUGUUGAUGUAUAUUAUAUAUAGUAGUAUAAAUAAUAAAAAAGUAUUAUUUAAAUUAGAUCACAGUGCUGCAUUAUGUGCAUAACAGUGUUUGAUAUAGUAUUGGAGGGCUGGGACCUACGACACCAAGGAUUUAACUGUCAACACUGGUUAAGUCACAAUCAAGAGGGGACACAGAGUUCAAAUGUGUUCUUUUGGUGGCAAGAAUCCUGAAGAUGAAAGGAAAAAAAAAAACCAAAAAAACAAAAACAAAAAACAAAAACAAAAAACAAACUUCUCUACAGAAACAUAAAAAAUCAAUUGCAACAUCUGGGCAGCUGUGAUCCACCAGAAAGAAACGAGUCCCAACCUGAAUCAAGUUUAGAGGGAAAAGAGAAGUCACAUUGAAUUGAACCCCAUCCCAUAUGCAAACCCCUCCCAUGUAGGUCACUUGUACAGAACUCUGAUUCCUUCUCCAAAAGCCCUUCGGUGAGAGGCUAAGAGCCCACACGCGUGGCGUGGGGAUAACCGGAGGGCGAGUCGCUAGCCCUCGGUGCCGGGCCGUCCCGGGGCUGAGCUGGGCCACGGGAGCCAUCUGGCCGGUGUCCACUCUGCAGAGCCCGCAGCCUGCAGUUGUCCCUGGGGCAGCUUCUAGAAGGCCCUGUGGGAUAGCUCCUGUCGCACCUGGCAGGGGCUGGAUGCGCCGACUUGCCUCCACGGGAAAGGUCGGCUCUUGGGGGAAAAGCCUGGGACGCAUCCCUUCUUUUAAAGACUCAGCCCCGGGACCGAAACCGCCACAGUCGUCUGGGCCAUCUCAAACCACCACCCAAACGUGGGUUCCAAAUAGACAGCUUUGUUUACCAAAGAACUCUUUAAAGUGUACUGAUCAGAGAGGGAAGGGAAGUAGGAGCUUAUGGUAUAUAAUAAGGCUGGGAAAAAUCUAUGAUGCAGACCCUUUCCACGUAGCACUAGAUAAAGGACGAUUAGAGUAGCAUAAAAAUAACUGUCUAUGUGUAGAGCAUUUAAGAAAAAAGAGCUACAGUCUCUUCCUCUUAAAUGGGUCCGAGGGCCAACAGCAAGUAACUGUAGAUGUCGUGGUGCUGAUGUGUUCAUGCUUGUUUUCCAAAGCAUCUUUAAAUAUUGCUAUAGUUCCCCGUCUCCCCCCGCCCCCCCGCCCCGUGUGAGUAGGUGAGAUACUGGAAUGACACAUGAAAACGCCACUUCUCCCAGCAGGAGAAAUGAAAGCAAAAACACCACACCCCUUGAACGGUGCUCAGGCGACCUGUCAGACUCAUGAGUACAUAGGCUAAGUUUGGAAGCUAGAAGAACACCUGACGUUUGGGAAGUAAUUCCAAGACUAAAGUGAAUUACAUUUGAGCAAAAUAUUCUUUCACAAAUAGGCUUGUGCUUAAAUCCUCUACUGCUCUUGGAGGAGGGGAGUGAGAGAGGGUGCCUCCUGCCCCUUGGCUUGGCAAGGACGCGGGCAACCUCCUUCUGUGAUGAAUUUAACUACAAACGGCCACAUACACAUUGAUACUUGGUUUUUUUUGUUGUUGUUGUUGGUUUUUUUUGUUUUUUCUCAACGAUCAAAAUACAAAGUUAAACACAAUUGAGCCAUUGUUUUGGUUAUGCAUAAUGUGUAUGCCUCCAAAAACAGAAGAAAAAUAGAAAAAAGU